rnacentral:lncRNA from 1 species
CCUUUCAGUGCUAAAGGAUGAUGUAGCGCAAGGGUCUCUAGUUGUCAAGGUCACAGUUAAAAAGUCCGACAAAGAACCCAUGAGUAAUGGCAAAGUUGUUGGGUACUUUCACAGCCCAAACUCUCUCUAUCCUGGUGUUCUGCUAUUAUUCCCUCUCUCUCUCUCAACUUUAUCCCCUUCAAAGCCCAAGCUCUCUCUCUCUCCCACUCAUCUCAUAGUGAAGCUCAAAGAUCGGCUUCACCACUCUCCCUCCUCCAUCAUAUCCACCAUCCAAUACCUAUUCGCCACCAAGAGGUCCCAUGCAGUUGUGAAGUCAAGUCCAAACUUGACGAGAUUUGUGCGAUGGAAUCCUGACACAUUCUACCUCUACCAAUAGCAACAGGGGUCAUCAUUGUUGUUUUCUAGCAUCAAAGUGGCUACGGCAACUGCCGCUAGCCAUCCUCAACGACCUAGUUGUCACCCAAGUCUCGAGAAGGCCAAGUUGCAACAUCAAGCUUGCCAUCUUCUACCCUCUGUCAUCCAUCCUCUACUUUCCCCGCCCUC